GACGAACGCUGGCGGCGUGCUUAACACAUGCAAGUCGAACGGUAAGGCCCUUCGGGGUACACGAGUGGCGAACGGGUGAGUAACACGUGGGUGAUCUGCCCUGCACUUCGGGAUAAGCCUGGGAAACUGGGUCUAAUACCGGAUAGGACUCCGGACUGCAUGGUCUGGGGUGGAAAGCUUUUGCGGUGUGGGAUGGGCCCGCGGCCUAUCAGCUUGUUGGUGGGGUGAUGGCCUACCAAGGCGACGACGGGUAGCCGGCCUGAGAGGGUGACCGGCCACACUGGGACUGAGAUACGGCCCAGACUCCUACGGGAGGCAGCAGUGGGGAAUAUUGCACAAUGGGCGCAAGCCUGAUUCAGCGACGCCGCGUGAGGGAUGACGGCCUUCGGGCUGUAAACCUCUUUCAGCAUCGACGAAGCGAAAGUGACGGUAGGUGCAGAAGAAGGACCGGCCAACUACGUGCCAGCCGCCGCAGUAA
rnacentral:rRNA from 1 species